AGCAGAUGUUUGCAGAUUGGUGAAAUUUACAGACUCUGAGACGAUAGUGGUCAAGCUGAUGGAUUUAUGUGGUCAAAUAAUUGAUGCUUUUGUGAAGUCAUGAUAAACCAUUACAAUUGAUUCAUCACUGGAAGUCUUAUUCCUCAAUAGGUGCUCUAAUCCAUGAUGGGGCGCUCAAUUUUGUGGUACUGUCAUUUGUUACCAUAUGCAGGCCACUCAAGUGACCUAUACAAAAGUUUUCUAACAGGGGUGGUAAAGGCAAAUGAUUUCCACACAACAAUCAUGUGUUGUGCCCAAUCAGGUUUUUGUCUGAACUCGUAGGGUGGAAUACGGGAAUACAUCCUUUCAUGAAAAUUCUUGUAUACGAAGCGUAUGGAUUGUAUCACAUCAGCAGACACGUAUAAUCAAUAGUGCGAGCACUUAAUUCAAACAUGGAUUGAAGCUGAAGGUGUGGACAAGGAACAACUUGGAACACUCCCAAGGAGCAUGCACAUUAAUUAUAUUGAUUGUGGUCCUGAAUCAAAAACAAAUCUAAGGUAAAGCCCCGUAUUCUAUAUGUUCAUAAUGAG